rnacentral:rRNA from 1 species
CCUACGGGAGGCAGCAGUGGGGAAUAUUGCACAAUGGGGGAAACCCUGAUGCAGCAACGCCGCGUGAGUGAAGAAGGAUUUCGGUAUGUAAAGCUCUAUCAGCAGGGAAGAAGAUGACGGUACCUGAAUAAUAAGCCCCGGCUAACUACGUGCCAGCAGCCGCGGUAAUACGUAGGGGGCAAGCGUUACCCGGAUUUACUGGGUGUAAAGGGAGCGCAGGCGGGAGUGGAAGUCAGGAGUGAAAGCCCGGGGCUGAACCACGGAACUGCCUUGGAAACUGUUCGGCUAGAGUACGGGAGGGGCAGGCGGAAGUCCUAGUGUAGCGGUGAAAUGCGUAGAGAUUAGGAGGAACACUAGUGGCGAAGGCGGCCUGCUGGACAGUAACUGACGUUGAGGCUCGAAAGCGUGGGGAGCAAACAGGAUUUGAUACCCCAGUAGUC